rnacentral:rRNA from 1 species
UUAAAUUGAAGAGUUUGAUCAUGGCUCAGAUUGAACGCUGGCGGCAGGCCUAACACAUGCAAGUCGAACGGUAACAGGAAGAAGCUUGCUUCUUUGCUGACGAGUGGCGGACGGGUGAGUAAUGUCUGGGAAACUGCCUGAUGGAGGGGGAUAACUACUGGAAACGGUAGCUAAUACCGCAUAACAUCGCAAGACCAAAGAGGGGGACCUUCGGGCCUCUUGCCAUCGGAUGUGCCCAGAUGGGAUUAG